CAAUGUGGAAUUCGUUCACAUGCAAUUUUCAUCAAGUCUCUCCUAUGUUUUGUUUUGUUCUGGACGGAUAAUUUAUUCCACACUGUUUUAAAGAAAGAAAUCUGUCUGUUCAUGUUUGCUUAGCUCUCUAAAUAUCACGCUAAUGCAGCAUCACCUUGAUGUUGUGUGGAUGUGGUUUUGUUUUCCCACGAAAUUAAUUUUGAAAGCCCACGAGUGCAGUGACAUUGAGCUGAAGGUCAACAGGAUUCCUCAGCUUGGCUGUUUUCCUUGCUUGCGCCUGACACAUCCCAGCCAGCCAGCUUGUGUGUGGUUUCCUGUCACCAUGGAGAUGCCUCCUUGCCACAAUGCCUCUGUCUCAUUACGGAUUCUUCCCAAAACGUUCUGGAAGUAAUGUCUGGUCUUGCCUGACAAUGAUAAAAAACAAGACAGAGCGGGGAAAAGCUAAGGCAUAUCGAGUUUUGGACUGAGCUGCAGACACUGCAAUGAGCUGUCGUAUAUAUACUUGUCUCUGAAAUCAUUCGUCAUGAAGCACGUGAUCAGGGAUCCCCCUCACUCCUUCCUCCCAAACCCCACACAGGACGCUCGCUCGAGGGAG